CCUACGGGUGGCAGCAGUGGGGAAUAUUGGACAAUGGGCGAAAGCCUGAUCCAGCCAUGCCGCGUGUGUGAAGAAGGCCUUCGGGUUGUAAAGCACUUUCAGUGGGGAAGAAAGCCUUGGGGCUAAUACCCUCGAGGAAGGACAUCACCCACAGAAGAAGCACCGGCUAACUCCGUGCCAGCAGCCGCGGUAAUACGGAGGGUGCGAGCGUUAAUCGGAAUUACUGGGCGUAAAGCGCGCGUAGGCGGUGUGAUAAGCCGGUUGUGAAAGCCCCGGGCUCAACCUGGGAACGGCAUCCGGAACUGUCAGGCUAGAGUGCAGGAGAGGAAGGUAGAAUUCCCGGUGUAGCGGUGAAAUGCGUAGAGAUCGGGAGGAAUACCAGUGGCGAAGGCGGCCUUCUGGACUGACACUGACGCUGAGGUGCGAAAGCGUGGGUAGCAAACAGGAUUAGAUACCCCUGUAGUC
rnacentral:rRNA from 1 species